CUCAACCGCAAGGAGGGGGAUGCCUAAGGCAGGGCUAGUGACUGGGGUGAAGUCGUAACAAGGUAGCCGUACCGGAAGGUGUGGCUGGAUCACCUCCUUAAAGGGAGACCUAAUUCAGGUAGGAGACGAAAAAAAAGUAGUCGCUACCAAGAAUCAAUCCCAAAAGGUCGGAGCGAGGCGAAAUUGGCUUUCAAACUAGGUUCUGGGUUCACACAAGACCUGAAUCAGGAACAAGGGCUAUUAGCUCAGGUGGUUAGAGCGCACCCCUGAUAAGGGUGAGGUCCCUGGUUCGAGUCCAGGAUGGCCCACCUGUACAGGUGGCAAAAAGAAAGAAAAGAAGCGAGGAAUCAGCACCUUAUCUUAUUUAUAUAGUAAGAGAGAAUGCUGGCUCUGAGUAAAGAGUCCAGAGGAACCUUGAAAACUGCAUAGAGCUAGGUGAAAAAGCCAAAAAAGAAGACCGCAAGGUCAAGCUAAUAAGGGCUAACGGUG
rnacentral:misc_RNA from 1 species